GAGAAAUUGUAAUUUCUUAUCAAAUAUCAACAUAAUUAAUUAAUUUUCAUCUUGAUUUUCUGCUAUUUCAGGUUCUUUUCAAUUGAUGCAUGGGGAUGAAAAAAGAAGGCCUCUCCCAAGCUACGGUGUCCCGCCUUGUGAAGUCCAUCUCAAUAGCCAUUGCCAGGAGAUCGAACCAAUACAUCUCAAUUCCUUCAACAAGAGAGGCAGUCCUGCAGAGUGCAGACCCAACAUGAAUUUUAUAAUUACUGCCAUUUCCCUGGCAUUAAUAUGGUCGGUGCUAUUGAUUGCAGCCACAUAGGCGUCUUCAAGCCAGUUGGCCCAACACCAGUUAUUUCCUGAACAGGAAAAAUAGAUACUCCAUUUUUCUUGGAAAGUCUGCUGGAUGAUGUUCUUCUUCAGUAAAAUAAAUGAAGGCAAAUUCCCUGAUAAUUGAGACAAAUUCAGAGAGAGGAAGGAGAACUACUGAGCUGCUGAAUUUCUGACAGACAUACUUGCAAGGACUAUGAAGUUCUACUUAGCCUCUUCAAUGAACCAGACUCUAUCUGCUGUAACUGUGACUGCAUGGGGAUCAAAACCUAUGUAUUAUAAUCCUCAUAACAUGAAGCUAUGGUAACAAACAAGCAACCAUUGAUAAAAAGCCUGAUAUGUCCUUGUUGUGUGUGUGAACCACAAAGCAACCAUUACUCAUAAGGAUGUUUUUAUGUACAUCAGAUGUUCAUUGUUUCACUGGAAAAAUUGUGAUUUUGAGUCAUUUAAGAAAUUAUGUUUUGUAAUGUGUUUUAUAAUAUAGUGCAAGUCAUGAUAUAACAGAUUCCCUGCAAAAGAAAUACGGCUCAAAAGUAGACUAUGCUUUGUUUGUAAACAUAAUGGGAAAAAGUAGUGCAACAAACGCAUAACAUUGAAUUCUAAUAAUUUUAAGUAGCAGAUUAUGAGGCUAUUGGAGCUUAAUAUUUGACCUUCAAUUAUAUUAUCGUAUUCAUAAUGAAUAACAAUCUUUUCUGUUAUAAGAAAAAUAAAUAAAUUGAACAUAAUUGUUGAUAUGUUAUAUACAAUAUUCCUUUCAGAUCUUUUGAUUUUAAGUGUGCAUACUGUUGGGUUCAUUGAAUUAUACAUGGAAA
rnacentral:lncRNA from 1 species